GAUGAAGAACGUAGCGAAAUGCGAUAAGUAAUGUGAAUUGCAGAAUUCAGUGAAUCAUCGAAUCUUUGAACGCACCUUGCGCUCCUUGGUAUUCCGAGGAGCAUGCCUGUUUGAGUGUCAUGAAAUUCUCAACCUUUUCAGCUUUCUUUGUUGAUCAGGCUUGGAUGUGGGAGUAUGCGGGCUUCUCAGAAGUCGGCUCUCCUGAAAUGCAUUAGCGGGACCUUUGUUGCCUGGCUUUGGUGUGAUAAUUAUCUACGCCAUUGUAGCCAAGCAGCUUAAAAUGAGGUUUCAGCUUCUAACCGUCUCCCCUGAGACAACUUUUUGACAAUUUGACCUCAAAUCAGGUAGGACUACCCGCUGAACUUAAGCAUAUCAAUAAGCGGAGGA
rnacentral:misc_RNA from 1 species